rnacentral:rRNA from 2 species
CGAGCGACUUGCGGGAGCUUGCUCCCAAAAGUUAGCGGCGGACGGGUGAGUAACACGUGGGCAACCUGCCUGUAAGACUGGGAUAACUUCGGGAAACCGGAGCUAAUACCGGAUAAUUCUUAUCAACACAUGUUGGUAAGCUGAAAGUCGGUUUCGGCUGACACUUACAGAUGGGCCCGCGGCGCAUUAGCUAGUUGGUGAGGUAACGGCUCACCAAGGCAACGAUGCGUAGCCGACCUGAGAGGGUGAUCGGCCACACUGGGACUGAGACACGGCCCAGACUCCUACGGGAGGCAGCAGUAGGGAAUCUUCCACAAUGGACGAAAGUCUGAUGGAGCAACGCCGCGUGAGCGAUGAAGGCCUUCGGGUCGUAAAGCUCUGUUGUUAGGGAAGAACAAGUAUCGGAGUAACUGCCGGUACCUUGACGGUACCUAACCAGAAAGCCACGGCUAACUACGUGCCAGCAGCCGCGGUAAUACGUAGGUGGCAAGCGUUGUCCGGAAUUAUUGGGCGUAAAGCGCGCGCAGGCGGUCCUUUAAGUCUGAUGUGAAAGCCCACGGCUCAACCGUGGAGGGUCAUUGGAAACUGGGGGACUUGAGUGCAGAAGAGGAAAGCGGAAUUCCACGUGUAGCGGUGAAAUGCGUAGAGAUGUGGAGGAACA